rnacentral:misc_RNA from 1 species
AGAUUUAGAGUAGCUUGCUACUCGAAGAUUUUAGUGGCGGACGGGUGAGUAACGCGUGGGCAAUCUGCCCGUAAGAGGGGGAUAACACCGUGAAAACGGUGCUAAUACCGCAUAACAUCACUGAGGUGCAUGCUUUGGUGGUCAAAGGAGUAAUCCGCUUACGGAUGAGCCCGCGUCUGAUUAGCUAGUUAGUAGGGUUUUUUCUUACCAAGGCGGCAAUCAGUAGCCGGCCUGAGAGGGUGACCGGCCACACNGNACCNCAGUCAGUUUCCAGGUAGCUAC